GAGUAAAAAGUUGUUUUCCAAGAAGAGUUAAGGAAGUAGUUAGUUUCUACCUGUCAUUUUGUGUCAUUGAAUUCUGUCUCUGAAGAAUGCUGUGCUGGUUUGCAUAUUUUUGAUAUGAGAAGGUCAGCCUAUCACUCAGAAGUGAAAUGAAGAAAGUGGAAAGCACAAUGCUUCCAGGAGCUGUGCCAGAGGAGAGAGAAUGAAAGCAUGCAUGAUACUGCAGAAAAUGAGAAUACAGUGCUGACAUGAAAGUGGAGUAAAUUAGAAGAGAGUGGCACUUAGGAAGCUACUGGAAACUGCUACUGGACAUGCACUGAGGUGCGGUGUGGGAGAGGUUGGUCACUUUAUAAAGACAGGAACUUCAAGAACGACAUUGAGUUCUCAGGAGCAGUGCUUAAAACAAUUCUAACAGAUAGCAACAAAUAUUGUUGCUAAUGGGAAUAAGCAGGGCAAUGAUUUUAACAGUAUCUGGAGGAGCAUAUUGAUCAACUCAACUGUGGGUUUACACUUCCUGGUGGGCUAAAAUGAUAACACAAAGUGAUGAAGAUUGUUCCUUUGGACUCUGUGUGCUGCUGUGAUCACCUAAAUAGGCAGCUGUGGCAUGGUGGGGAGUUCUUCAUUUGCAACAGUGAACCUCGUUUUCUACUAGUUCCCUCUUUCAAUGCCUUACUCUGAAAGUCUGGACAGCAGCUGACAUCUGUGCUAUGCUGUUCAUUGUUUCAGCUCUGAGCUUGGAAGAAGGAAUGUCAAGAUGAAGUGAGCAAGAAGAUUAAAUGUCUGUAUAAAUAAAUAAAUAAUGAAUAGAUCCAGUGGAGUUCAGCUUUUCUGUUCUAGAUGCAGUUAGGAACUGCUCAAAUCUACUGCACUCAUAAGAAUGUGUGAGGCAGCCAGCAGAUGAUAAAAAUAGGCCCUGAGCAGCAAUAAUAUUUUCCAUUAAAACAAAACAAAACGAUAACCUUUAGCUUUUUAAGAGUGUAUUGUUCCAAAUCAGAAAAAGGGCAUUUCUAAGUGAGAUGCUUACAAGAAGUCAUGAGGUUGCUUCAUUUAUUGCAGUAUCUAUUUAGAUUGAAAACCAUUUUACCAGACUGAGGUCCAAAUGAUGGACAGGUCAAAAAAUACACAGUAAAUGGUUCCAGCCUAAGAAGAAGUUAGUAGAUUCAUCAAGCCACAUAAAGACUUUUCUCAAAGACACUGCAGAAAAUAAAUGAGUCAUCCCUCCCUAACUGCAGGAUUUUCAUAGUGCCUUUCAUGAGGAGCUCCUUGGUGGUUUCCACACCAUGUGAAGAGGGAAACAUGUCAGUCUGAAUAUAUCUGAAAGUGAGAAUCUCUGGGUUUUUCUUGUCUGUGGCAGAUAGUGAUUAUGUAAGGAUAUUAUUGGUGGUCAUCUUUGUGUGUACAUUUUACUUGAGCAGUCUUACAUUUGUGGCUAUCUUAAAUCAUGACUUUAAGCAUUAAGACACUGGGGGUUGGAUUUGUAGAGUAAACCAAAUUCAUGUCGGUAUUCUCUAAUUAACCAUGGUAAAAUCUUUAAUGUAUUACAUGUUGCAUAUGAAAUAUACUACACAUUAUAUAUACCACUUCAUAUAGCAAAGUUAUGCAUUUUUAUAAGAUAUACAGAAUAUUUUAUAUGUAUGAAUUCAGUCAUUUGCUUCUUUUAACAGCAUGCAGUAUACAAAAAUUUUCCCAUUCCAUCCAUUAAAAUGUAUGUCUUUUUCAUAGUA